rnacentral:rRNA from 1 species
CAUUGAGGGUCGUCAUAGACGAUGACGUUGAUAGGGUGCAGGUGUAAAGACGGUGACGUCAAAGCCGAGCACUACUAAUUGCCCGAACUCUUUCGC